rnacentral:lncRNA from 10 species
GGCUCCAGGACACAUCCACAGAGCACAGGCCACGUAGAGGGGAGCUCCUGUCUACAAGGAAAAGCUGGCAGAAAACCAACAAAGACAGCCUCUUGAUGGUGGUCUUCAAAAGAUGCAACAGGAUGCAAUGGCAGUUGACAAUGGGAAUUUCAACUAGCAACAAUCCUGUGGCAAGUUUACCACCCUGAAUAUCCCAGAACUUGGAGUGAAGCUUUGCAUCCCCUGGGAUGGCAGAGCCAAGAAAAACCAUGAGGACGGAAGCACUGUGAGUACCGGCAGGGUCAGCCCAACAAGGGUCAGUAAGAACUUCCCUUUUCAAAAGAUAAAGCGGUUCACAUAGACAGCUGUGGUGGACUCUUUCUGCUGCCUGUCCAACAGACUUCUGCACAUUUCCUAAGGACAGAACCGCAUUUUUGUACUAGAGCAGAGAUUCCGUGACAUCAGGAGAAGAGGCCCUUCCCCCAAUCCCAGGAGCCAAUAAACUCAUUCUUCUUUGCAAUUGUACAAUGACAUGCACAGGGAAGUCU